rnacentral:rRNA from 1 species
AACGAACGCUGGCGGCAGGCUUAACACAUGCAAGUCGAGCGGAGAUGAGGUGCUUGCACCUUAUCUUAGCGGCGGACGGGUGAGUAAUGCUUAGGAAUCUGCCUAUUAGUGGGGGACAACAUUCCGAAAGGAAUGCUAAUACCGCAUACGUCCUACGGGAGAAAGCAGGGGAUCUUCGGACCUUGCGCUAAUAGAUGAGCCUAAGUCGGAUUAGCUAGUUGGUGGGGUAAAGGCCUACCAAGGCGACGAUCUGUAGCGGGUCUGAGAGGAUGAGCCGCCACACUGGGACUGAGACACGGCCCAGACUCCUACGGGAGGCAGCAGUGGGGAAUAUUGGACAAUGGGGGGAACCCUGAUCCAGCCAUGCCGCGUGUGUGAAGAAGGCCUUAUGGUUGUAAAGCACUUUAAGCGAGGAGGAGGCUACUGAGACUAAUACUCUUGGGUAGUGGACGUUACUCGCAGAAUAAGCACCGGCUAACUCUGUGCCAGCAGCCGCAGUAAAAC